AGGGAAUCUUCGGCAAUGGACGAAAGUCUGACCGAGCAACGCCGCGUGAGUGAAGAAGGUUUUCGGAUCGUAAAACUCUGUUGUUAGAGAAGAACAAGGAUGAGAAGAGAAUGUUCAUCCCUUGACGGUAUCUAACCAGAAAGCCACGGCUAACUACGUGCCAGCAGCCGCGGUAAUACGUAGGUGGCAAGCGUUGUCCGGAUUUAUUGGGCGUAAAGCGAGCGCAGGCGGUUCUUUAAGUCUGAUGUGAAAGCCCCCGGCUUAACCGGGGAGGGUCAUUGGAAACUGGGGAACUUGAGUGCAGAAGAGGAGAGUGGAAUUCCAUGUGUAGCGGUGAAAUGCGUAGAUAUAUGGAGGAACACCAGUGGCGAAGGCGGCUCUCUGGUCUGUAACUGACGCUGAGGCUCGAAAGCGUGGGGAGCAAAC
rnacentral:rRNA from 1 species